UUAAGAGGCCUCCCAGAAACUUCUUGAAAAUCCUCUACAUUUAAGAAAGCAGUGUCCCACACCAAUCAAGCAUUGAUUCUUUCUUGAAAGUAGAGGAUUUUCAAGAAGUUUCUGGGAGGCCUCUUAAC